rnacentral:tRNA from 1 species
UAUUUGGUAGCAAGGGUUAUUCCCUGUGAUCGAGGUUACAGCUCGCCG